ensembl:lncRNA
GGGAAUUCUGAACUGUUUAUCAGUAACAUAUAUUGUGCAAUUGCAGAGCCUUUAUUGAAUUAUUGUAAAAUCAUAUUAAUCAUAUCAGUCGCAUUGCUUUAGUAUUUUGAAAAUAUAUGGAUACUAUUUACAUGUGCAUAUUACUCGCAUGUAUGUAUGCGGGGUUUAUGCAGUAGUAAUUGGUCGUUUCCUCUCUGAAGAGCUCGAGGAGAGCGAGUAACUCCAGCACUCUCUACAUGCCAUGUGCAGCAAUACCUUCUGCUCCAUCUCUCCUCAUCUGCAUUUAUGACCACAGUGCUCUGAUUUUACUUUGACACCUAAUAACUCCUUAUCGAGGAUUUUUUUCUUUUCUUUUUCGGACCAUAAACAAUUAGGCUACCAAUAAAAACGGACAUCACGACCCGCUCAACAAUUUCAAUCGCCUUGUUUUGCCCCUUGUGGAAACAAACUUGGGGCACUUUCUCAAGACUGUGUUUAUCAGUGGGAAUAUUAAGGACGAGUGUUUGAAUUUAACUCCUCAAGACUUCUAAAGACAUCCAAAGAAGGCUGAACAGUGUUUGAGAAUGAAUCAGACCGCAGGAGCCACAAACACUUACAGAAGAUGCUCAAAAGGAGGCAAAGGCACGACACAGAAGGUCAGCGCUAAAUUACCCCAGCUCUACUUACAAAGUACUCCUGAAGAACCCCACAAGAAGUUACACAUGAGCCGGUUAAUCAGCAAUGCAGAGACAGCCAUCAAUUCUAAGCGUUCAUAUGACUGGAAUCCUAAUGUUGACUGCUCAAAUGUUGGAGUGCUUUAUCUUUAUGUGCAUCACAUGUGCUUAUAAGCGCAAGUGUUAUGAAUCGAGUAAUUUGUGUUUUGAUUAAAUAUUUUGUUAAUGAAAGCACUUGGAGUUAAAAAACAAAACAACAACAACAAAAAAACAAACAAACAAACAAACAAAAAACAAUGAUGUAACAUGCCCUAAUUUGAGUUGUAAAUGUCUUUAAAAAUGGUGCACUGAUAAAGACUCUAAAAUAAUGAGUUGCAUUUAAACAGAUAUUUUGUUUUCUACAACACUGAAAAAAAAGAAACCUUUACUUUUUAAAAGGUACUCAUGCAUAUUUUCUGUUUUUAUAUUGUUUUAAUGGCCAAAAUAUAUAUAUACAGUACAGACCAAAAGUUUGGAAACAUUACUAUUUUUAAUGUUUUUGAAAGAAGUUUCUUCUGCUCAUCAAGCCUGCAUUUAUUUGAUCAAAAAUACAGAAAAAACAGUAAUAUUGCGAUAUAUUAUUACAAUUUAAAAUAAUUGUUUUUAAAUUUAUUAUACUUUAAAUUAUCAUUUAUUUCUGUGAUGCAAAGCUGAAUUUUUAGGAUCAUUAUCACAUGAUCCUUUAGAAAUCAUUCUAAUAUGAUGAUUCAUUAUCAAAGUUGGAAACAGUUCUGCUGCUUAAUAUUUUUUCAGAACAUGUGAUACUUUUUUAGGAUACUUUGAUGAAUAAAAAGUAAAAAAAAUAAAAAAAAAGAAGCUAU